AGGCACAAAUCAUUGUCACGUUCUUCACUUCAUUUAGAGCAGUGAUAUUUCUGUUGUGCAAGAAAAAUGCUGGAGGUAAAUUAGCAGAGUGGCUACUUGUGCCUCAUCUGCCAGUCCCCUUCACACAGUG